rnacentral:rRNA from 1 species
UACGUAGGGACCGAGCGUUGUCCGGAUUUAUUGGGCGUAAAGAGCCCGUAGGCGGCCGUCCGCGUCGGAUGUGAAAGCUUAGGGCUCAACCCUGAGAGGCCAUUCGAUACGGGACGGCUAGAGGUAGGUAGGGGAAAGUGGAAUUCCUGGUGUAGCGGUGAAAUGCGCAGAUAUCAGGAGGAACACCGGUGGCGAAGGCGGCUUUCUGGGCCUUACCUGACGCUGAGGAGCGAAAGCUGGGGGAGCGAACAGG